GACAGAGGGUGCAAACGUUGCUCGGAAUUACUGGGCGUAAAGCGCGUGUAGGCGGAUUUGCAAGUCAGAUGUGAAAUCCCUGGGCUCAACCCAGGAACUGCAUUUGAAACUGUGAGUCUUGAGUGUCGGAGAGGAAAGCGGAAUUCCUGGUGUAGAGGUGAAAUUCGUAGAUAUCAGGAGGAACACCGGUGGCGAAGGCGGCUUUCUGGACGACAACUGACGCUGAGACGCGAAAGCGUGGGGAGCAAACAGG
rnacentral:rRNA from 1 species